AGCUCCCCCAAAGUGAACCACAACCAUUCUCAGCAACAAGGUCCCUAGUUCCUCCAGUGUUAAUGGCUGAGUUCAUAUCAAGGAAGCCAGCCAUGACAAGCUCCUCCAAGAGAACCAGCAACUCCAAAUGACAACACUUAGGAGAACUCAUAACUCUAACAGUAUUCCUUUCCACAUGCUCUUAUGCUGGCAACUUUCCUCAGGUGGACCAUCUACACUCAGCAGCACACCGAUGCAGUUCAGCUGGAUUUAAGCUGACCACCAGUUACCAGUCCACUACAAGAAACAAAUAAAAAAGAUUUUUGAAAUACGGAGGAAUAUGUCAUUGGACUAGAAUAAUGAAGAAUGAAGAUAAAUAACAGAUUAUACCACUUCAACCAAAGUGAUAUAAUGGUUCUAACCAGCUGUUGCUCCUGGUAUUCCAAGACUGAGAUUGCCUAAGGAUCGUAGAAAAUACAGUGGGCCAGUGCCAGAGAACCAGGAACUGGGUCAAGCAAGCAGCAACUUCUCAUUGCCAACAAAUUGAACAGGUAUGCACCUCCUUGACACAGACCUGAAGGAAUGGAAGCGCGUAUACCAUAGGAAGACCUGCAUACCUGUGUUUACAGUGACAUAAUUCACAAUGGCCAAGAUAUGGAGCCAGCCUUGGUGCCAAUCAACAAAUGAGCAAAGAAAAUGUGGCCCAUCAACAAGUGAAUGAAUAAAGAAAAUGUGGCAUCCAUGAAGGAGAAUGAAAUUUUAUCAUUUACAGAAAAAUGGAUGGAUCUAGAGAUCAUCACAUUGAGAAAAAAAGUGAGACAUAGAAAACUAAAUAUCACAUUUUCUCGCUUACAUGUGGAAUCAUUUGGCAGAGUCUUUAGCUUGUUCUAAGAAUAGUAUAUCAUCUGCAAACAAGGACAGUUUGACUCCUUCCUUUCCUAUUCAUAUCCCUUUUAUUUCUUUCUCUGCUAGGUUGCAGUAGCUAAAGUUCCAAGAUCUAUAUUGAAUAGGAGUGGUGAGAAUGGACACACAGCUCCUCUUCCUAAAGAGGACUAAGAUGUAAAUCCCCAAGGAAAUUCAUGAGCAGCCAAGUUUAACAGCCCUGCCUUAUGCCUUCUUGUCUCUAUUUCUAAAUUACUCAGGCUUGAAUUUAAUACGUAGGUAAUAAAUAAGAUUUUGUAUUGGCAAUCAUCUCUCUCUCUGUCUCUCUGUCUCUGUCUCUGUCUCUGUCUCUGCCUCUCUCUGCCUUUCUCUCUCUCUCUCUCUCUCUCUCUCUCUCUCUCUCUCUCUUUCUCUCUCUGUUUUCCUCUCUCCCUUAUUUUUGUAUAUAAUUCCAUGAAAGCUUCAUUACUUCCCUGGGUUUUAAUUCUUAAUGUAUAGGGGCUGGGGAUUUAGCUCAGCGGCAUUAAGUGCCUGUCUUGCAAGCAGGCAGUCAUGAGUUUGAUCCCCAGUACCGAUAAAAAGGAAAAAGACAAAAAAAAAUUCUUAAUGUAUAAAAUAACUCAUAAUCCUAAAGAACAAAAUCAGACGAUCUAAAAGGACAAAUAACAAAAUAUGUGAGAAUACUUUAAAGUUUCAAAUCAAAAGUAAGUUUAUAAAGGGAACCCUUCUCCACUGUUGGUGGGAAUGCAAACCAGUGCAACCACUGUGGAAAUCAGUGUGGGGAUUCCUCAAAAUCUAGGAUUGGUGGUCAUUUUUGGGUAUCUUCCCAAGAGAAUUAAAAACAUCAUACCACAGUGAUAUACGUGCACCCAUGUUUAUAGCAGCACAGUUUAUCAUAGCUAGAUCUUAGAAACAAUAUAAAUGCCCAUCUACUGAGGAAUGGAUAAAAAAAGAUGAGGUAUUUUUAUACAGUGGAGUACUACUCAGCCAUAAAGAAAGAUAAACUGGACACUUACAGGUAAAUUGAUGCAACUUGAGAGCAUAUUCAUUAGUAAAAUAAAUAAGACACACAUGUGUGAACAUCAUAGUUCCAUUAGUGUGACAAGCUGAAAGAAAAACAUGUAUUUGUGUAUGUAGAAGUAUAUAAAAAUAGUAAAAUAGUUACACUACUGAUUUCUCUGAGUUCAGUAAAGAGAAAGAUUUGUGCUGGUGUUGUUUGGACAAUUGAAUGUAGAUGUCUUGUGCUCUAGGUGAAUAAUUUGGGGAUGACACUGCACAAUGUAUGUACCAUUGUUACCCCUUGAAAUAUUUUUAUUCUUUUUUUCUUUCUUUUUAUCCUUCAAUAAAAUGGAUUUGAAAAAA